rnacentral:rRNA from 1 species
ACGAACGCUGGCGGCACGCUUAACACAUGCAAGUCGAACGAGAGAAGAGAAGCUUGCUUUUCUGAUCUAGUGGCGGACGGGUGAGUAACACGUGAGCAAUCUGCCUUUCAGAGGGGGAUACCGAUUGGAAACGAUCGUUAAUACCGCAUAACAUAAUUGAACCGCAUGAUUUGAUUAUCAAAGAUUUAUCGCUGAAAGAUGAGCUCGCGUCUGAUUAGCUAGUUGGUAAGGUAACGGCUUACCAAGGCGACGAUCAGUAGCCGGACUGAGAGGUUGAUCGGCCACAUUGGGACUGAGACACGGCCCAGACUCCUACGGGAGGCAGCAGUGGGGAAUAUUGCACAAUGGAGGAAACUCUGAUGCAGCGAUGCCGCGUGAGGGAAGAAGGUUUUAGGAUUGUAAACCUCUGUCUUCAGGGACGAAAAAAGACGGUACCUGAGGAGGAAGCUCCGGCUAACUACGUGCCAGCAGCCGCGGUAAUACGUAGGGAGCGAGCGUUGUCCGGAAUUACUGGGUGUAAAGGGAGCGUAGGCGGGAUCGCAAGUCAGAUGUGAAAACUAUGGGCUUAACCCAUAAACUGCAUUUGAAACUGUGGUUCUUGAGUGAAGUAGAGGUAAGCGGAAUUCCUAGUGUAGCGGUGAAAUGCGUAGAUAUUAGGAGGAACAUCAGUGGCGAAGGCGGCUUACUGGGCUUUAACUGACGCUGAGGCUCGAAAGCGUGGGGAGCAAACAGGAUUAGAUACCCUGGUAGUCCACGCCGUAAACGAUGAUUACUAGGUGUGGGGGGACUGACCCCUUCCGUGCCGCAGCAAACGCAAUAAGUAAUCUACCUGGUGAGUCCGACCGCAAGGUUGAACCUGAAAGGAAUUGACAGGGGCCCGCACAAGCAGUGGAGUAUGUGGAUUAAUUCGAAGCAACGCGAAGAACCUUACCAGGUCUUGACAUCGUAUGCAUAGCUCAGAGAUGAGUGAAAUCUCUUCGGAGACAUAUAGACAGGUGGUGCAUGGUUGUCGUCAGCUCGUGUCGUGAGAUGUUGGGUUAAGUCCCGCAACGAGCGCAACCCUUACUGUUAGUUGCUACGCAAGAGCACUCUAGCAGGACUGCCGUUGACAAAACGGAGGAAGGUGGGGAUGACGUCAAAUCAUCAUGCCCCUUAUGACCUGGGCCUCACACGUACUACAAUGGCUGUUAACAGAGGGAUGCAAAGCCGCGAGGUGGAGCGAACCCCUAAAAGCAGUCUUAGUUCGGAUUGUAGGCUGCAACCCGCCUACAUGAAGUCGGAAUUGCUAGUAAUCGCAGAUCAGCAUGCUGCGGUGAAUACGUUCCCGGGCCUUGUACACACCGCCCGUCACACCAUGAGAGCCGGGGGGACCCGAAGUCGGUAGUCUAACCGCAAGGAGGACGCCGCCGAAGGUAAAACUGGUGAUUGGGGUG